rnacentral:rRNA from 1 species
GAUGAACGCUGGCGGCGUGCCUAAUACAUGCAAGUCGAGCGAACAGACGAGGAGCUUGCUCCUUUGACGUUAGCGGCGGACGGGUGAGUAACACGUGGGUAACCUACCUAUAAGACUGGGAUAACUUCGGGAAACCGGAGCUAAUACCGGAUAAUAUUUCGAACCGCAUGGUUCGAUAGUGAAAGAUGGCUUUGCUAUCACUUAUAGAUGGACCUGCGCCGUAUUAGCUAGUUGGUAAGGUAACGGCUUACCAAGGCAACGAUACGUAGCCGACCUGAGAGGGUGAUCGGCCACACUGGAACUGAGACACGGUCCAGACUCCUACGGGAGGCAGCAGUAGGGAAUCUUCCGCAAUGGGCGAAAGCCUGACGGAGCAACGCCGCGUGAGUGAUGAGGGUCUUCGGAUCGUAAAACUCUGUUAUUAGGGAAGAACAAACGUGUAAGUAACUGUGCACGUCUUGACGGUACCUAAUCAGAAAGCCACGGCUAACUACGUGCCAGCAGCCGCGGUAAUACGUAGGUGGCAAGCGUUAUCCGGAAUUAUUGGGCGUAAAGCGCGCGUAGGCGGUUUUUUAAGUCUGAUGUGAAAGCCCACGGCUCAACCGUGGAGGGUCAUUGGAAACUGGAAAACUUGAGUGCAGAAGAGGAAAGUGGGAUUCCAUGUGUAGCGGUGAAAUGCGCAGAGAUAUGGAGGAACACCAGUGGCGAAGGCGACUUUCUGGUCUGUAACUGACGCUGAUGUGCGAAAGCGUGGGGAUCAAACAGGAUUAGAUACCCUGGUAGUCCACGCCGUAAACGAUGAGUGCUAAGUGUUAGGGGGUUUCCGCCCCUUAGUGCUGCAGCUAACGCAUUAAGCACUCCGCCUGGGGAGUACGACCGCAAGGUUGAAACUCAAAGGAAUUGACGGGGACCCGCACAAGCGGUGGAGCAUGUGGUUUAAUUCGAAGCAACGCGAAGAACCUUACCAAAUCUUGACAUCCUUUGCUCCUUCUAGAGAUAGAAGUUUCCCCUUCGGGGGACAAAGUGACAGGUGGUGCAUGGUUGUCGUCAGCUCGUGUCGUGAGAUGUUGGGUUAAGUCCCGCAACGAGCGCAACCCUUAAGCUUAGUUGCCAUCAUUAAGUUGGGCACUCUAAGUUGACUGCCGGUGACAAACCGGAGGAAGGUGGGGAUGACGUCAAAUCAUCAUGCCCCUUAUGAUUUGGGCUACACACGUGCUACAAUGGACAAUACAAAGGGCAGCGAAACCGCGAGGUCAAGCAAAUCCCAUAAAGUUGUUCUCAGUUCGGAUUGUAGUCUGCAACUCGACUACAUGAAGCUGGAAUCGCUAGUAAUCGUAGAUCAGCAUGCUACGGUGAAUACGUUCCCGGGUCU